AGGACGAACGCUGGCGGCGUGCUUAGCACAUGCAAGUCGAGCGGAAAGGCCCUUCGGGGUACUCGAGCGGCGAACGGGUGAGUAACACGUGAGUAACCUGUCCCUAGCUCUGGGAUAGCUCCGGGAAACCGGGAUUAAUACCAGAUACGACCACUUUAGACAUCUGUCGUGGUGGAAAGGAUUCCGGCUAGGGAUGGGCUCGCGGCCUAUCAGCUUGUUGGUGGGGUAACGGCCUACCAAGGCGACGACGGGUA
rnacentral:rRNA from 1 species